rnacentral:rRNA from 1 species
GAUGAACGCUAGCUACAGGCUUAACACAUGCAAGUCGAGGGGAAACGACAUCGAAAGCUUGCUUUUGAUGGGCGUCGACCGGCGCACGGGUGAGUAACGCGUAUACCACCUGCUUAUCACUUGGGGAUAACCUUGCGCAUGUAAGACUACUACACACUGAUAUCUCUAGAAGACAUCUGAAAGAGAUUCAUGAUUUAUCGGUGAUGGAUGGUGAUGCGUCUGCUUAGCUUGUUGGUGGGGUAACGGCCAACCAAGGCAACGUUCAGUAGGGGUUCUGAGAGGAAGGUCCCCCACAUUGGAACCAAGACACAGUCCAAUCUCCUACGGGAGGCAGCAGUAAAGAAGAUUAGUCAAUGAGCGAGAGCCUGAACCAGCCAAGUAGCUUGCAGAAAGACUGCCCUAGGGAUGGUAAACUGCUUUUAUAAAGGAACAAAGUGAGAGUCGUGACUCUUUUUGUAGGUACCUAAUGAAUAAGGACCGGCUAAUUCCGUG